UUGUUGAACGGUGGCUAUAAAUUUGUUCUGCUGGAUACUUCUAAUCACCUUCUACUUCUCUUACACCCUUUCCACUAUUCAGUUUGGUUUCCAAAUAUCAGCUUUUCUUGGUGGAAAUUAUGAAUCUACGGUGGCUGCUGAUUAUUCUGAGCAUUUUUAUUAGGAAAAUGUCUGGCUCAGAACAUUUCUGCUUCCUUUUCUCAGCUGUAUAUUUAGGUGGAUGUCAUCAUCUCGGCUGCAGGUCCUCUCAAGUUCAAUGUUUUUUCAGGUUAGAACCAGUGUUCACAGCAACUGCCCAUCUAUUCUUACGCAGGUGUACAUCAAGAGCUCAGAACCGGGACCAGAUUUUGGAUCAAAGAAGCAAAAAGCUAUUGGUGUCAGCAUCAGUACUUCCUGUUCCAUGAUCACCCCUCCCUUCAAGUGGUUCAGAUCCGAAUCGAGGGUCACAUAAAAGAUAUGGAAGCUGGAACCUUUGCAAGCUCAACCAUUUGCGCUCCAGAUCUUAUGGGGUUCCACCAUGCUCUUGCAUCCAACAAAGCUAUAAAGGUACAUGCACUAAUGGAGAUGGCUUGUUUAAGUGAUGUAGCUCUCCAUUUCACCCCUUCCUCAUAUCAAUGCAACUUUAUCCAGCUGUAUUCCAUGUGCCCCCUCACUUGGAAAAGAUAUAUUUUCUGAUGGUGAUCUGUGGUGUUUCUCUUUCGGCAAGCUUAACCAUGGCCUAAUGGUUUCACCCCUCCCUUUGGAGGAGGUUGCUUCUUUGAAUCUUGUCCAUUAUUUUUCUAAGUAUUUCGACAUGGAGAUUCUCUCCUUAUUUAUAUAAAAUUAUUGAUGAUUCUCUUGUUAUUCUUC